rnacentral:lncRNA from 1 species
GAGAUUCGUCUUAGAUGCUGUGUACACCAGUCAGUUCUUCCUUUUUAUUUCUGGCUAGUCAUUCAUUGUGAAGGUAGCAUGGUAACCAAUGCCUGUAUCCUGGAUGCCCAGAGGCCCUCGAUCUGUCCUGAAGGAUUUUGGAACACAGACCAGCUGGGCAUUUUUGUGCAUGCAAGACCUGCCUUCGCAAUGAUCUUAAGAUGUCACUGUAGCGUUUACAUCUUUUAUUUCAAGAUUUAAAUAACUAGGAAGUAGCUAAUGUAAUUCACUGCUGAGAAGAAAGGCGAGCUCCUCGAUUCCUUUCCAAAGCGAUCUCCUCCUAAUGAACUUCUCUGGACUAGGGAAGACAGAAGCCCCUCCCAUUCGCUUCUACUGGGGCUUGUUAAGCCAUCGCCUUGGGGGCCGGCUGAUCAGCAGCAGCCAGCAGCCAGCGGCUUCGGCAGGCAGGAACAAGGACAGCCUGUGGCUACUGCAGCACCACUGCCUGGCCACGCUUCAUGAGGAGGGAGAGUGCCUUGGGAGGAAUAUAAAGGCAAAUCAUGUUAGCAUCACAGAGCCCACUUAAUUCCGUAUGGGUUGGUAUUUGGGGAAGAAAUUGAGGACAAAUUGGUGUUGGACCCUAUAGCUGGGCAGUGACCAGUAUGCAUGGCAAGGUCUUAAAGUCAGUAAGUUUUUCAGGGUGAUUUUUUUUUCUGUCCCUGAGUCAGUGGAAUAGAAUGGAAAUGCCAUGUCUAGCUACUGUAGGGAGCACAGUUUGAAGAAGACAGCCUCCCCUAAGCUAGCACUGCUUGUGUAAUAUGUGGUCCUUAGACAUUAAAAUGAAGCCCUUUGUUACCAACUGUAGAGCCCCCCAAAAUACCCUCAUUUGGUGUUUUUGUUCCAUUUUAAACCGUGAAUUGCAUCCACUCCCUCCAGUACUGAUGUGAGGUUUUUCCGUGUUGGAUCAAAACCAAAUGCUGUUUUAUGUCAACUUAAGGAAGGAAACUGGCAAAUGCAUGAGGUCAAUCUCCAUGGUGCACUCCACUCCAGGGGCUGUACGAGAGGAAAAAAAUGUGCUUCAUGUCCCAACCAAAAGUAUUCUCUGUCUGAGGACUGUUGCCUAAGUGUGGAGUAGGAGACUUGUGCAAUUCAAAGGCACCUACGUGAUGCUCAUGCGGAGCCCUUUUCUCAGCCAGGCACGACAGGUAUGGAGCCGGCUCUGGGAAGUGGGAUCUAGAAUGACAACCCUUGGCACAGGGCUAAGGAGCUUUAGGAGUGAUGAAAUCUCGUUGUACCACUGCAGACAGAAGCUGCAUCCCUGCCUGGGAAGGAUUAGGUCACCUCCCAGCAGGAGCAAACAUUUGGUGGAAAGGACUAGGAGGUUGGCUGAUUGCUCUUCUCUUUCAGCAGUGACAUUUCCACCCUGCCCGUCCCGCCUCUCCAGAAAGGUAGGUCCAGGUACUAAAGCUCAAGUGGACUAGAGGCUCCCAAAACUUCUCCUCAUGCCAUCUCCCCAUUGGCUGCUGGGUCCAGUGGUGGCUGCCCCUUGGGUACCAGGAGCUCCUAGUUCUACAAUGAGAAGCUGCAGGGUACAGCUGUAAGUUUUGUCCUCAUGCUCACCCCCUUAUGCUGUCUCCUCCAAUAAUGCAUGUGGUUUGGUCUCUACAGGACUCCCAGAGGCCCAUGGACUGGAGCUCCUGCAGAUGGCAGCCACUCUUUCACUGUGAUCACCAAGGUACCCAGGGCCUCCGGAGGCCACAAAGAAUGGAUAAUUGCAACCCACAGAUCUCCUUCAGAUUUCCUCCUAGCCCUUCUGGUCAGCAAAUGCUCUAUGGUGGGGAGUGGCGUGAGGCCUUGGUCCAUUUCAUUGCUGACAUUAGCCCUGCACCAGCGGGAGAACGUUUCUUCCUUUAAUCACCCCAAGAUUAGCCUGCAGUUGCCUCUUUCUGUUGGAUAUUUGAAUAACAAGCUUGAUGAAGCCACUUAACUCCCUCCAAUUACAGCUAAAGAUUUCCUAGAUGAAAGACCUUGAUCCACUGCCUUUCAUGAUUCAGCACUGGAUUUUCUGUUCCAUGGAGCCUUCUAUUGGAAUAAUUUUGUGAAAUGAAGGCAACAAAGUAUUGUUUUCUUAAAGAGAACUUCAUAAAAAUUGUGCUCAUUGACUGCUAAUUUGUCCUGCAUUGUUACUGAUGCUUUUCUUAUGAUUUUUGUUUUGCACUGAACAGUCCCUGGCUGAGAGAAAACCCUGAAGCAGUUAAGAUACCAGGAAAGGAAGACUUGAAAAUUGUGAGACUUUCUCAGUAGAGGAGGCAGUGUGCUGAUUUCUAUGCUGAUGCAGCUCCUUGUCUUGGCAUGGACUCAUAACUGACAGAACAGCAUGUGGACCUCACCGCUUCUUGGACUUCGAGUGGCGCUACUCUAACGCUGAGUCCUGACCUGGAUCCCCGUUUGCUUGCCUAGACCUAAGGCGGUGGUGCAGACCUUCCCCCCCCCACAUACCAUCUCCUUCUGGAAUGUGGGUUUGUGGAACUGAGGCUGAGUCAAUCACGGUGCCCCAUUCUUCUGGUCAUGUGACAGGUCUGGACCUGGUCAUGUGGCAAAGUCAAAUCUAAGUCACAUCAAAGCAGGGAGAGUUAAAGCAAAUCUUUUCUCUCUUGUUGUGGAGCUGGAAUAUGAGCCCAGAAGCUUCCAGAAGCCAUGGUCCUGCCCUCAUAGAGAAGCUCAAGUGAGGGAACAAAAUCGACCUAGGUAGCAGCGAGUAUGGAAGGGGCCUGGCUACAUCAAGUUCUCAGAUCCUGUUGUCCCCACCCACCCCCUGUAACUUGCCAGUUUUAUCCAUCAGGCAUCCUCUCCUCUCUCCCAGCUUGUUUGAGUUCUGUUUCUGUCAUUGUCACCAAGAGAGCUUUGAUGAAUAAGAAAUCCCAACAUUCCAUGGGAGUCUUGGUGGUUUAAAUUUUUAAGUGAGUCCUCACUUGUUAAAGUCUUAUUCCUAUUAGAGGGCACUUCCGUAGUCCAGAAGGUGGGGAAUUCCUAUAGGUGACAUGUGGUCUCUCUAAGCAAUUUGACCAGGACUAUUUCAUAAAAUAUUUAAAAAGUG